GUUGGUUAUAGUGAGUUCGGGAAAGUGUUCAAGUUCAGCAGCAUAUUUCAGCCUACGUACCUGUGUUGUGUAGUUUCCUUAAUCUGUUCUGAACGAUCCAGCUUCCAAUAUUUAUGUGUUGAGUUCAUGACGAAAAACUAUAAUGACAAUGCUGGAUAUUGGAAUGUUCUGAUGAAUACUGCUGGAUCUCAAUACAGUUAAUUGAA